rnacentral:rRNA from 1 species
AGCAGUAGCCGCGGGAAUACGUAGGGCGCAAGCGUUGUCCGGAAUUAUUGGGCGUAAAGAGCUCGUAGGCGGUCUGUCGCGUCUGGUGUGAAAUCCCGAGGCUCAACCUCGGGCUUGCAUCGGGUACGGGCAGACUAGAGUGCGGUAGGGGAGACUGGAAUUCCUGGUGUAGCGGUGGAAUGCGCAGAUAUCAGGAGGAACACCGAUGGCGAAGGCAGGUCUCUGGGCCGCAACUGACGCUGAGGAGCGAAAGCAUGGGGAGCGAACAGGAUUAGAGACCCCGGUAGUCCCUGUCUCUUAUAC